UGGGGAAUAUUGCGCAAUGGGGGAAACCCUGACGCAGCAACGCCGCGUGAAGGAUGAAGGUUUUCGGAUCGUAAACUUCUUUGAUGAGGGACGAAUAAUGACGGUACCUCAAAAACAAGCCACGGCUAACUACGUGCCAGCAGCCGCGGUAAUACGUAGGUGGCGAGCGUUGUCCGGAAUUACUGGGUGUAAAGGGCGUGUAGGCGGGAAUGCAAGUCAGAUGUGAAAUACCGUGGCUUAACCACGGGGCUGCAUCUGAAACUGUGUUUCUUGAGUGUCGGAGAGGAAAGUGGAAUUCCCAGUGUAGCGGUGAAAUGCGUAGAUAUUGGGAGGAACACCAGUGGCGAAGGCGACUUUCUGGACGAUAACUAACGCUGAGGCGCGAAAGCGUGGGGAGCAAACA
rnacentral:rRNA from 1 species